rnacentral:rRNA from 1 species
CACGUAGGCGGCUCGCUCAGUCGGGUGUGAAAGCCCACGGCCCAACCGUGGAACUGCACCCGAUAUUGGCGAGCUCGAGGACGGAAGGGGUGAGUGGAACUCCAGGUGGAACGGUGAAAUGUAUAGAUAUCUGGAGGAACACCGGUGGCGAAAGCGGCUCACUGGUCCGUCUCUGACGCUGAGGUGCGAAAGCUAGGGUAGCGAACG